rnacentral:rRNA from 1 species
UACGUAGGGGGCAAGCGUUGUCCGGAUUUAUUGGGCGUAAAGAGCGUGUAGGCGGCCUUACAGGUCAGCUGUGAAAACUCGAGGCUCAACCUCGAGACGUCGGUUGAAACCGUAUGGCUAGAGUCCGGAAGAGGAGAGUGGAAUUCCCGGUGUAGCGGUGAAAUGCGCAGAUAUCGGGAAGAACACCCGUGGCGAAGGCGGCUCUCUAGGACGGUACUGACGCUGAGACGCGAAAGCGUGGGGAGCGAACAGG